GCAGGAUUCUUUGCAAAUAUAUCACCCUUGGGAACAGCCAGCUCACCUUCCUGACCCAAUCCUGAUGGGCUGUACUUUCCAAGUUUCUCCUGACUAAUGUGGACUUUCUGGACGUGUAUUGCUGUGUGCUGGCCCUGUCCACAUCGAGGAAAGAAAGACAAUAAUUAUUAAAAUGAAAUGUUCACUGAUUUGACACAUACAGCAGAAAAUGAUCUAAUGUUCACAGAGUUUGCCUGAACUGAAUCCCACAGCCUGUACAAAAAAGUGAGCACAGGCCUGCUGAUAACAAGAGUUCCAGCAGAAGCUGUGGAAGACUGAAAAAUGGCCCCAAAGAUACACAGAUACAUGAGAGAGACAGAAGAAGGAGGAGGAAGAAAAAGAGAAGGAAGAGGAGGAGGAAGAGGAGCAGUGAGGAGACGGAGUCUCGCUCUGUUGCCAGGCUGGAGAGGAGGACAUUACUUUCUCUGAGACAAAAAAGAACAUACUUGACACACCUGAUAAAUGAUACAGAAUAACAAUUUUUUUAAAAAGUUUCUUCAAUGAUUUAAAACACAUUUACACUCAAUUGAUUCAGCGUAUAAACAUUAUUGUGUGACUGUGGUGGAUCAGUCACUAUAAUAAAUAACUGUUAUACUAGACAAAAAAUUUUAUCUUUAAGAAUUAUCAAAGUACAUAAAAAGUCUAGAAUAUUUUAAUAAAGAGAUUAUACACAUUGAUAAUCUAAUUCUCAAUUUGAAGACUGUGGUAAUCUUUAAGUAAUGUAAUGGAUGCUGAUAAUCUAGUGGUUAAAUUGUAUAGUAUAUUUAUUUGUUUGAAAUGUAUUU